UAUGCCGAUAAAGUUGGAAUGAUACAGAGAAGAUUAGUAUGGCCCUACUCAAGGAUGACACACAAAUCGAUACAUGAUAUACGAAUACAGAAUAUUUUU
rfam:Cucumis sativus cultivar 9930 chromosome 1, whole genome shotgun sequence.